rnacentral:rRNA from 1 species
ACUCCUACGGGAGGCAGCAGUGGGGAAUAUUGGACAAUGGGGGGAACCCGUGAUCCAGCCAUGCCGCGUGUGUGAAGAAGGCCUUAUGGUUGUAAAGCACUUUAAGCGAGGAGGAGGCUACUGAGACUAAUACUCUUGGAUAGUGGACGUUACUCGCAGAAUAAGCACCGGCUAACUCUGUGCCAGCAGCCGCGGUAAUACAGAGGGUGCGAGCGUUAAUCGGAUUUACUGGGCGUAAAGCGUGCGUAGGCGGCUUUUAAGUCGGAUGUGAAAUCCCCGAGCUUAACUUGGGAAUUGCAUUCGAUACUGGGGAAGCUAGAGUAUGGGAGAGGAUGGUAGAAUUCCAGGUGUAGCGGUGAAAUGCGUAGAGAUCUGGAGGAAUACCGAUGGCGAAGGCAGCCAUCUGGCCUAAUACUGACGCUGAGGUACGAAAGCAUGGGAGCAAACAGGAUUAGAUACCCCGUGGUAGCGACUGA